rfam:Lachnoclostridium sp. An298 An298_contig_89, whole genome shotgun sequence.
UUUGGUGGCGAUGCGUCCGGGGGCAACACCCGUUCCCAUUUCGAACACGAUGGUUAAGACCCGGACGGCCGAUGGUACUGCACUGGAGACGGUGUGGGAGAGUAGGUGGCCGCCAAAU